rnacentral:rRNA from 1 species
UACGUAGGGGGCAAGCGUUGUCCGGAUUUAUUGGGCGUAAAGAGCGUGUAGGCGGUUCGGUAGGUCCGUUGUGAAAACUCGAGGCUCAACCUCGAGCUGUCGGUGGAAACCGUGUGGCUAGAGUCCGGAAGAGGAGAGUGGAAUUCCCGGUGUAGCGGUGAAAUGCGCAGAUAUCGGGAAGAACACCCGUGGCGAAGGCGGCUCUCUGGGACGGUACUGACGCUGAGACGCGAAAAGC